rnacentral:tRNA from 1 species
GGAGGAAUACCCAAGUUGGUGAAGGGGUCUGACUUGAAAUCAGAUAGGUCAGUAAUGGCGCGUGGGUUCGAGCCCUACUUCCUCCG